rnacentral:lncRNA from 1 species
UAAACAUGCUCUUUCCCCCCUUUUGUGUUUAUAGCUGCCCAGAAAUGAACAUCAAUAUUUAAAUGUCUGAAUUAUCUUAGGCUUGUAAAAAACCAAUUAGCUACUCCCUGGGCUCAGUGUUUGGGGCCUCCCUGGGGUAUAGUAUGGGACUGUUUAGUUCUUGCGGUCAGAGGCGGAAAGCUCAGGGAGAGGUCAGAGUGGCAAGGGGUCAUUGCAGGGUUAGUGGGGUCUCCUGGGACGAACUGUCCUGAAGGGGCAGGCCAGGGCGGGGUCAGGAGUCUGUGGCAGGCCUUGUAAGGCUGUCAGGAAGGAUUCAGCAGGACUGUUGGCAGCAUGCGGAACACUUGGCCAGAUUAGCUGCAUCAUGGAAAACAUGUCACAGACUCCAGCCUUCCAUUCUGGGAGGUUAGGGCCAUCUCUGGCUCCAGAACCCUGGAUCUGUUUGUGGCAACAGUGGACCCAGCUGCAGGUGGCAUACAGGAUUUCCCAACCUCCAUGGCAGCUGAGGGUGAUGAAAGAGGAGGUCGCUAUUGAAGAAAAUGGAGGAGGAAAUCACCCAGCUGGCAGAACCUGAGCUACCAGAUCGGCCAAUUAAAGAACUCAAUAUACUGCCAGGGAAAUGAUUCAACGCAUAGAUGCCAAUGAGACCUAGUAAAGUCAUCAUUUAUCUUAUUAUCCCUGACCAGCAGGAUAUUUUUUUGUGGAUAGAGGUUGCUGGAAUCACCUCCUGCCAAGGCCACACACACAAUGCGUGAAGGCAACUCCCAAAGGAAAUUAGAACACUCUGGGCAAGGAUCAAUAGCAAGGAUCAAUGCUACGUAGUGUUUGCCCCUGCAUGUGCUUCUCUAUCCCCCAUUACUAAGAGGGAAGUUUUGAUUCGCG